GACGAACGCUGGCGGCGUGCCUAAUACAUGCAAGUUGAGCGCUGAAGGUUGGUACUUGUACCAACUGGAUGAGCAGCGAACGGGUGAGUAACGCGUGGGGAAUCUGCCUUUGAGCGGGGGACAACAUUUGGAAACGAAUGCUAAUACCGCAUAAAAACUUUAAACACAAGUUUUAAGUUUGAAAGAUGCAAUUGCAUCACUCAAAGAUGAUCCCGCGUUGUAUUAGCUAGUUGGUGAGGUAAAGGCUCACCAAGGCGAUGAUACAUAGCCGACCUGGGAGGGUGAUCGGCCACAUUGGGACUGAGACACGGCCCAAACUCCUACGGGAGGCAGCAGUAGGGAAUCUUCGGCAAUGGACGAAAGUCUGACCGAGCAACGCCGCGGGAGUGAAGAAGGUUGUCGGAUCGUAAAACUCUGUUGGUAGAGAAGAACGUUGGUGAGAGUGGAAAGCUCAUCAAGUGACGGUAACUACCCAGAAAGGGACGGCUAACUACGUG
rnacentral:rRNA from 1 species